rnacentral:rRNA from 1 species
UACGGCGGGCGCAAGCGUUGUUCGGAAUCACUGGGCGUAAAGCGCGUGUAGGCGGCUUGGUAAGUCGGGUGUGAAAGCCCGGAGCUCAACUACGGAACUGCAUUCGAAACUACCUCGCUCGAGUCCCGGAGAGGGUGGUGGAAUUCCCGGUGUAGAGGUGAAAUUCGUAGAUAUCGGGAGGAACACCCGUGGCGAAGGCGGCCACCUGGACGGUGACUGACGCUGAGACGCGAAAGCGUGGGGAGCAAACGGG